UGGCCUUGUUACUGGUUUAUGCUUCAGGGACUUCUAUAAGUGUAUUUUUGCUGAUAUUAAAUGUGAAUCAAGGGAAUCAGUUUUCCUGAUGGCCUUGAACUUAGAGGUUGAUUCGGCAAUAUGACUUCUGGUAGCAUUCAAGAAAAAGGCUUUGGUGCUUGUAUACUACAAACCAAAUACCAUAAAAAAGUCAGAGUUUCAACAGCUGAAUUUGCUAAUGGGUCAAAUGUACUUGGAUCGCCUUAGUGCAAUAUUGUGAUAUAACCUGUAGGGAUUGGAUACUUUUUUUUUUUAAUCCAAUAGCUUAAUAAAUUAAAUUGUCUCACUUUCUUCAAUCAAAUGUCUGCUCUAAUCCUGUUCUGUUUGGUUCGGUUGAAGUGUAGAAAUCUAAUCAUUAAAUGCAAACUGCAGGUAUGGACUUCUUGAGCUCACUACAUUGUUAUUUAAUAGUGGUCCUUGGAAUUGAAAUAAAAAUCAUGUUUUGUGGUACAAGAGGCAAUAAAGACAAUUAUUUUCCAUGGUCAUGCAAAAGAUAAAGGAGAUUCUCCUUGAUGACUGUUUAGCCCAAUUGGUAGAUUUGUGAGUGAAGACUGUGUCAAUUAUUUUAAAUUUGGGGAUUGAUUUCCAAUAUCUAGUUGUUUAUGUUGCAGAUAAGAAAAUUAUGUUGAAACUAAAAUAAUAAAUCCUAGCAAAUAUAAACUAUUAAACCUAGAAAUGAGGUGGAAGGCUUAAAUUGAAAGGAUAGAAAUGUCAAGUGAGGAAAUGGUGUUUAAUUUGCGGAGCCUUCAACAUUCUUGUCACUGAACAACAGUUUAUUCUUUUUCUUGCUUACCUAAUUUUUCUCUUUGUUUUCUAUCUUGUAUCAAAGCGUAGAUUGGUAGGCUUAUCUCAAAUUGGAGAAUUUGGACUCUGGAAAGUUCUUGACUAUUUAUGUAAAUCUCGUUUCUACUCAUAUUACUUGUGUUUCAAUUAUUCUUUAGCAAAUCAAGUUUUUAAAGGUGGUUCCAUCAAAAGUGGGGCUUUUAUUUUGCCUCUGGACGUAUAUGUUAUGUGCUAUAAUUAGAGCGAUUCCCAUUCUUAUAAAUUUCUUUAUUCCACUAUCCUUUGGUCUACUAGAAAUUGCUUAUUUGGUGAUUUUGAGGAAAAAUGAGCAUGUCUGGAAACAUCAGGGGGAAUAAAUAUAUAAAGCUAGUGGUAGGAGGAAUGUUGCUUGGGUGGUUUGGAGUAGUUGGUUGGAGAGAAAUGCUCAAAUGAUUAAGAAUUAGAGUUUGCUUUUGGUAAUUGUUGUGUGAUAGUAUACUUUUUCUGGCCUUGUUACUGGUU
rnacentral:misc_RNA from 1 species